GAUGAACGCUGGCGGCGUGCCUAAUACAUGCAAGUCGAGCGAACGGACGAGAAUCUUGCUUCUCUGAUGUUAUCGGCGGACGUGUGAGUAACACGUGUAUAACCUACCUAUAAGACUUGGAUAACUUCGUGAAACCGGAGCUAAUACCGUAUGAUAUUUUGAACCGCAUGGUUCAAAAGUGAAAGACGGUCUUUCUGUCACUUAUAGAUUGUUCCGCGCUGCAUUAGCUAGUUGGUAAGGUAACGGCUUACCAAGGCAACGAUGCAUAGCCGACGUGAGAGGGGGAUCGGACACACGGGAACGGAGACACGGACCAGACUCCUACGGGAGGAAGCAGGAGGGAAUAUUACGCAAUGGGCGAAAGCAUGACGGAGCAAAGCCGCGUGAGUGAUGAAGGUCUUCGGAUCGUAAAACUCUGUUAUUAGGGAAGAAAAUAUGUGAAAGAAACUGUGCACAUAUUGACGGUAACUAAUAAGAAAGCCACGGCUAACUACGUG
rnacentral:rRNA from 1 species